rnacentral:lncRNA from 1 species
CCUACUCGAGGAGCAUGUAAACAAAUUAACACAUCUCGUAUCGUUCGUACAACUAGACAGAAAAUUCGAGUUUUGUACAAUUAGUAAGCAAAGGAGCAACAAGUUCAAAAGUACAUAGUUUGUUGGUUCAUAUAUCGAAGCCGUCAUUCGGUCACAUUGCCCAAUGAAUACGGGUUAUUGGCGGACCAUUUCUCCAAGUGAGAAGGACCUUAUGGA